CACUGGGUUCAAUUCUCAGCACCACAUAUAAAUUAGUGAAUAAAAUAAAGGUCCAUCAACAUCUAAAAAUUUUUUUAAAAAAUAAGCUGAAGAGAUAUUAAACAUGCAUGGCCCACCAGGCGAGCAAAGCAAACCCACCCAUACCCAUUUGUUCUGAUGGCCAGGGUAGAAGGCAUAUCUCUGUCAGAGGGCCACCAGUCAUUCUGAUCACCUUCUGCCCCCUCAACCCAUGCUGCUGUAACGUGGUGCCACCUGCAUCACUCAAAGCUGAAUGACUCAAGGUAGGUGGAUGUAACAAUUCCCCACAAGGCCCCCACAGGAUAUUGCUGGCCCAAGCAAUGGUUCAUAGGGUGGCAGGUAGCAUGAAACUUUAUGCCCAUGCCUACCAGGCACAGGGAAAUGGGAGGUCCCCAGAAUCCAUGAAACAGUAUUUCAUUGUUUCUUCUCCUUUUAAAAUCACUCUUCAAGAUCUUUCUAGGAGUCCCAAAGGGUCUCACACCAUUUAAACCACUACGGAGCAGCCACCAUUUACCUCCUUGGCUCCUGGGCUGGCACCCACACCAGGGGUCAGGCAAGUGCCAUGAGACCCAAGCAUCCUGCCACCUGCUGUUUGGGGCUAGAGCUGCUCAGGGUGAAGGGUGGGGUGACUUAUUCUCUCCCACAAUCAUCCGAACAGGUGGGUCAUCCAUGCUGCUGCUCAGACUGCAGGGUUUACCUACUGAGGACUGUCCCCACACCACAGCCAUUCAGUGCCACACUCCAUUCUGCAACAUGAAAGUAUUCUGUCUGAUACUCCAGUGUCUCCUGGUGAGUUUAGUGAAAUACCUUCCAGGUUUUUAGUCACAGCCCCUCCUGUGGCCCAGCCCACUUUCCUGGGGCCAUGAGAACUGGGCUGAGUGGCAGGGACCAUACAAACUUCAAUGCCAUGCUCCCUGGGUAUUCCCCUGUGGGAUGGCAUCUGCCCUCCAGAGGAGGCUACCAAGAAGCACCUUAGAUCCUCAGGUGAAAUGACUACCUACGGAUUCCAGUUCAGUCAAGCAGCCCUGCACUCCUGAAUGAGUCCAGUGUUGGCCCCAUGGGGACCCCCACAUUGUCAUCCAUUGCUAGUGGCUGGACCCCAGGGGCAGAAUUGAACAGGCAUCCCAGUCCUGCUGCACACCAGGACUGUGGCCAUAGGGCUGACCACGCUUUGCAGGAAGAGAUAAAGGCCUGGGAGAAGGGGUGCAGGCCAAAUACCAAAUGAGACAGAGACGGCCCCAAGGCUGGGGAGCAAGGAGCAUAGGGGUGCGCUGGCCUGGUUCUGAGUCUUAAAGAAAUGGUGGAGCUGAACAACGGACAAUGGAGUUUAGAGGCAGGAGAGGAGAAUGUUCUCAGAGGUCUGCAGAACCAUGAGGAGAGCUCAGGAUCUCCUCAGGCAGGAGACAGGGUAAGCUACGUGAGUCUGGGCUGUAUGCAUCUCCUUGGUGGUUAUAUUUCUGGAGUGUCACACUAUAUCUACAUUUAAUGAGCAUCAAUAAAUGGUCAGUACAGUGUGUGGAAGAGAAGAGGGAGAGAGAGAGGAGGAGAAUGGAAGGGAGACCUUGGAGGCAUCCACCAAGGUAGGAGGUUUAGCUAUGUUAUCCCACAGGAAAUGGGGAACCAGGGAAUGUUUCAGAGCAGAGAACAGUGCAUGUAAUUUAGAGUUUCUAGAAGAUGCAUCUGCAUCGUUCACUCCUCAGGGAUGUUCCUGGGCCCAACCCUGCCCUCUGGAAGAGGCACUUUCUCUCUACCCCAGACUAGAGAGGGGAGUGGCAGGGUAGGGGGCACAGACCCUGCUCUGCAGUCUGGGAGAGCUUGGGAUGCCUUAACUGAUGCUUCCAGAGCUUGGACCAAGCUACUCACCUGCCUGGCUGCCAAAAAGAAGAUUGUCAAAACCCUGGGCUGGAAUCUCUCUGGCUCUCCUUGGCCUCACGUUUGCACAGUAGCUUACAACCCACUAAUCAGAUUUCCUGGCAGCCACCCUAUUGACCAUGGUAGUGGCUCCAGUGGCCCUGCCUCCCGGGCUGGAAGGAACAGACACCUACAGGAGUGUGCUGAGGCUGGUGAGGGGUAGGCACCUGUCCACUGAGCUCCUGAUCAACUGACAGAAGACACAAGUCCCUCCCCCAGAACACCACCUCCCGCGUGGUCAGCCCUGGCUGGGAGUGGUGGUGAACAAGCAAAGGGGCCCUCAGGAUGCUGGGGCUGGACUCCUGCCCCAGCCAGGCUGCUGUCAGACACUGGGACAUAAAAAAUGAGCAGCAGCUGCCUUCCCUCCCACUCCAUCCUGCUGUGGAGCAUUAGGUGGACCUUGGCUUUUGGUUGGUUGAUAGAUUUUAGAUUUACUAGUGUUGGCAUCUCCAGGGGUACACAACCAAACAGCAGCACAAUCUCACAGGCACAGGAUGGACCUUAUAAUUCACCACACCUAGGUCAGCACUUUCUAGUUGAGCCUCUCAUCCACUCCCUGAGCCUGUGAAGUGAACAGGAUGUCAAAAUCAUGCCCCCUCAGAAAUGAGGGCCCCACACACAGACAGGGGAGUUAUCUAAAUUCCCACAACUAAAAUGCUUAGGAAGGGGAGCUUUGGCUUCCUGGCUGCCUCAAAGGGAGCCCCAAAAGCAUGAGGAAUGGAUCUUCAGGGGAAAUUUACAGAGGGUUCAUAGAAGGAUGGAGUUAUCCCUGCCUCAGUGGGUCUGCCAUUCCUGAGAGACAGGUUAGGGACAAUCUCAUCCUAUCCCUUUCUUAGGAAUGAGGGCCCUUGGGGCAGAAAGCUGAAACAGUGUGUCCAGAGUCCUACAAAAAAAAAAGUCUGCAGCCAGAAAACUUCUCAGACUUAUUUUUUUAUUCUUCUUAUAUUUUUGUACCAAGGAUUGAACCCAAGAGCACUUAACCACUAAGCUACAUCCCCAACCCUUUUUAUUUUUUGAGACAGGGUCUUGCUAAGUUGCUUAGGGCCUCACCAAGUUGCUGAGGCUGGCUAUGAACUUGCAGUGCUCUUGCCUCAGCCCCCCAAGCAGCUAGGAUGAUUUUAACAGUUAUGGAAAGGACCCCUCUCCUUCUUGCCUGUUGGUUCAUGGUCAACGUUUUUUAUUCCAUCUAAACAAAGCGCCAUAUUAGUGAAGAUGCCCUGAGAACAGUCAGGAAGUCACCACAGGCCCCAGAAGACUUUCACUGCAGGCCAUGAAGGAUGGAGUGCCCCCCACCUGUCCCUGCCCCUGACUGCAGAGGCAGAACUAAUCAUUGUACAAGAUUUGGCCAGAGUUAGAAGGAAUACUGAGCCUGGCGAGCCACUGUAAUCCCAGUGGCUCAGGAGUCUGAAGCAGGAAGAUUGAAAUUUCAAGGUCAGCCUCAGCAAUUUAGUAAACCCCUAAGCAACUCAGCGAGACCCCAUCUCAAAAUAAAAAAUAAAAAGGGCUGGAGAUGUAGCUUGGUGGUUAAGCACCUGGGUCCAGUACCAAAAAAAAAAAAAGGAACCCCAAAUUUAUCUCAACCUGCAUCAUUUCCUCCAUCAGCAAUGGAGGCCUAAUAAGGCCCAAGGAGGCAGUAGUGAGUCUAUUUUCAGCUGUUCUGAUCCGAAAGACUAAGAAUAAGGAAAGACCUGGACAGGUUGGCCAUGCGGGUCCUUGUCAGGAGAAGGGCUGUAUAUGGGUACCAUCAGGGGUGCCCAGGCUUAGUCUGCCCCAUCCCCUGUUCUCACCAGAGACUGAAUCCUGUGCCCCAGGGGCCCAAGUAUUAAUGGUCUAACAGAGGGAAGAAAACAGCUACCACUGCAGAGUAACUGUCAGAUGCCAGGCACUAGGCAAGGCAAGAAUCAUGCUCCCUAAUGUACAGGUGAGGAGAUCUCAGAGAGGUUGAGUGACUUGUUUAAGGUCACCCUAGUGGUCUGAAAACCUAGGCUCUACUGUUGGGAUGAAAUGAUCCUGCCUCGUCUUCUCAACCACACCACCUGUGGGCCCUCACCUGGCUCUCUCCGACCUAUGCUCUAGGAUCCUUCAGUGCUGUACACCCCCAGCCCCUGCCCAGGCCCCUCAGGCAAGGAUGACCCUCAUCAGACAGUGUUGAGGCAGCCAGAACUGCUCUCCCCGACCUCUGCCUGCCAAGACCGGUUUGCCAGAUCCACCCAUGGAAAAUCCCUGGGUUCCGGGCACUGGGAAGUGCAUUUUAACAGGCACAUUCUGGAAGCACUAUUUUAGAAAAUGAAGACUGGGAUCUACUGCUCUCAAGAAAGGCCUUGGGUCUAUUUUUGAGAAAGAGACACCAAUUUCCCCCUACCCUAUAGGGACCCUGGCCUUGUGGUGAAACUGACAGGCGCCCUUUCUAAGACAUACAAUCCUAUGUGGGGAAUAGGAGUCCCACCAAGCACUCAUCUUGAAGGCCUGCUCAGCUGGAAAGGAAGACAGAAGGACUGGAAGGACCCAAGGCUUCCAGCUGACGCCCCUCCCACAGGGUCACUCCUUACUCAGGCAAAAGUGUCCUUGAGUUGCGCUGAAGCCCAUCUCUGCUAUUUCCCAGAGUCACUGAACAUUACACAUUAACAGCCCUAGUGGUUUCCAACAGCUUGAAAUGCUGGCUUUGGCCAAAAACUUCUUUAAAAGGCCAUCCUCCUUCUUAUUCCAUAGCGUUUACAUUUUACAACAUUUAAACAGAACCACUUCUAAGCAAAGAUAUGCAGCUCUUUCCUCACAUGUCCCCAUAAAAAGGAAAAUCUGGGGAAUAUCUACAUUAGACGGCAAGAGCAUUUCUCUGGAGCCCAGCAGUGAGCGGAGUGAGGGAACUCACUGCCUCAGGCCCAGACUCCUUCCUCCCAGAGGCCUUCAGGCCUCCCAGCUGGGUCCUGGGUAUUAAUCCCCAGGAGAGAGUGACUUGUGUAGAGGCAGCGUCCCCAGUAUUUAUGAGCACUUCAGCUACAUUUCCUGAGCUAACAUGGCCAGGACAAGGGCUACUGAAAGAACUACAUCCAAUAUCAUAUUUAGCAGAUUAACCCUAUGAAUCAGCUAUGGCUGUUCUAACAUUUUACAGCUGGGAAACAGGCUCAGGGGGGUCAACAGACCUGCCCAGCCCUGAUUCCACAGCCCACGCCCUUCAGGCUCUCUGCCUCCGCCAAGGAAGUCAUCCCAAGCUGACGUGGAGUCUGAAACCUCCAGCAGGCCUGCGGUCCUGUUGACCUUGAGCUGGGCACCCCUGCAUCCUGGUUGAACAAUUUGACUGCCCACCCCCACCCUCUUAGCCCUGGUUAAACUGAACCUUCAGCACUUUUUGUUAUUCUGAAUCUCCCUGAACCACUUACCCUUCAAUGCUCAAGAUAUCACCACUACUAGGAGUUUGCUCUUUGAUGUUAAAAUUCCCUCGGGUGACCCAAAUUUUUAAAAUUUAAAUAGGCCCCCAGCUUCAUCUGUCUUCUAGCAGCAGGAUGAGUUCGCCAUCUAGUGGUUGUCUAGUGAACCUCAUAGUUGCAGAACAAGAGCAGAGCUUGGGAUCUGGGAGGCCCUUAGAAGUCAGGUGGUCCUGCUAAGAUUCAAAGAGGGAAAGUGACCAGCUUAAAGGAACACAGCAAAUUAGAAUCCAGGCUCCAGCACCGUAACCCAUCCCUUGGUCAGAAAGACUAUGCUUGUCUUUUCCUUGGUUCUGAGGAAGCUGGAUAUCUGGUAGUUGUGUCCCAUUCACAAGGUGACCUCUCUUCCUGAUCCCGUGUCUGUUCAUUUUAUAAUCUUGAAUAGGUAAAUUUAUACAUUGGAUAAAAUUAAAAAGUCACAAAAAGGUAUGCAGCAGAAAGGGAGUCUCACCCCAGCCCUCCACCACCCAGUUAUUAAUCAGAGAUUUUCUAUGUAUUUAUAUUCACAUAUUUUAAUUUUUUCACAUAUAGUAGCAUAUUCUACAUGAGGCUCUUAGUGCCACAUCAAGGACAUCAUUGUACAUCAGCUCAUGACAAGCACGUUGGAUCCUUGGAAAGCAACACAUACCCACCCCACCCCCCAGGUGUAGGAUAUGGAGCUGCCAUAAUUUAUUUGGAUGGUGGUUCCCAGUGCUUUUGGUGGACAUUAGGUGGUCUUCAAUAUCCAUAGCCAUUAUAAACAUUUGUGGGGAAAUGUGGUAAAGUAAAUUCCUGGAAGUGGGCUUGCUGGGGUUUCCAGUUGGGAUUCAUUUCGGUCUCAUAUUCUAGAAAACCCUACAUAAGGAGACUUUAAAUAUGUAGGGCCUCAGUAUCUCAUGCAAAUCAAGUGUAGAGGCAGAUGGUCCAGAGUAACAUGCCAGGGCACAGCAUGUGCGUAAUUUUCAUAGACAUCACCAAUUGCCCUCUUCACCAAUUGCCCUCUUUGGAGGCCAUACUGUCCUGUUUUCACCGUCAAUGUACAGCUUCCCUGCAGCCUGGCCAAAUCCCACCAGCAUACUUUGUUUAAAAUUUCCCAAUUAAACAGGUGGAAGUGGCAUUCAUUGUACUUGUAAAUUUGUAUUUUUCUAAUUUUGAGCAGUGUUGAACAUCUCUUCAUGGGCUUAAUAUGUACUUCAUUUUCUCUGGAUUGUCUGAUUGUAUUCAUAACCAUUUUCCUUUAGUGCUUAUGUUCUCAUUUGUAUUGAAAUUUUGUUAGCUUUAUUAAAAUAUAUACCAUAAAAUCCACCCACAUCAAAUGUACAAUUCAAUGGUUUUAGUAUAUUCUCGGGUUGUGCAACUGUCACCACAAUUUAAUUAUUUAUUUGUUUGAUUGAUUAUUUAUUGAUUUUACAGUACUGGGGAUUGAACCAAGGGGUGCUCUACCACCAGGCCACAUCCCCAGCCCUUUUCAUUUUUAUUUUGAGACAGAAUCUCACUAAGUUGGGCUGGGGAUGUGGCUCAAGUGGUAGCACGCUUGCUUGGCAUGCGUGCGGCCCAGGUUCGAUCCUCAGCACCACAUACAAACAAAGAUGUUGUGUCUGCC
rnacentral:lncRNA from 1 species